CCCUGAUCUUAGCGGCGGACGGGUGAGUAACACGUGGGCAACCUGCCCUGCAGACUGGGAUAACUCCGGGAAACCGGAGCUAAUACCGGGUAAUACAUCGCACCGCAUGGUGCAAUGUUGAAAGUUGGCUUUCUGAGCUAACACUGCAGGAUGGGCCCGCGGCGCAUUAGCUAGUUGGUAAGGUAAUGGCUUACCAAGGCGACGAUGCGUAGCCGACCUGAGAGGGUGAUCGGCCACACUGGGACUGAGACACGGCCCAAACUCCUACGGGAGGCAGCAGUAGGGAAUCUUCCGCAAUGGACGAAAGUCUGACGGAGCAACGCCGCGUGAGUGACGAAGGCCUUCGGGUCGUAAAGCUCUGUUGUUAGGGAAGAACAAGUACCGUUCGAAUAGGGCGGUACCUUGACGGUACCUAACCAGAAAGCCACGGCUAACUACGUGCCAGCAGCCGCGGUAAUACGUAGGUGGCAAGCGUUGUCCGGAAUUAUUGGGCGUAAAGCGCGCGCAGGCGGUCUUUUAAGUCUGAUGUGAAAGCCCACGGCUCAACCGUGGAGGGUCAUUGGAAACUGGAGGACUUGAGUGCAGAAAAGGAGAGUGGAAU
rnacentral:rRNA from 1 species